rnacentral:rRNA from 1 species
GAGUUUGAUCAUGGUUCAGGACGAACGCUGGCGGCGUGCUUAAUACAUGCAAGUCGAACGAGGUCCAUCCGGUGGCAACACUGGUGAAGACCUAGUGGCGAACGGGUGAGUAGCACGUGAGCAACCUGCCCCGAAGACUGGGAUAACACCGGGAAACCGGUGCUAAUACCGGAUAUCCCCACUGGACCGCAUGGUCCGAUGAGGAAAAGGGUUUCUGCUUCGGGAGGGGCUCGCGGCCUAUCAGCUUGAUGGUGAGGUAACGGCUCACCAUGGCGACGGCGGGUAGCUGGUCUGAGAGGACGAUCAGCCACACUGGGACUGAGACACGGCCCAGACUCCUACGGGAGGCAGCAGUAGGGAAUCUUGCGCAAUGGGCGAAAGCCUGACGCAGCAACGCCGCGUGAGGGACGAAGGCUUUCUGAGUUGUAAACCUCUUUCAGCAGGGACGAUAGUGACGGUACCUGCGGAAGAAGCACCGGCCAACUACGUGCCAGCAGCCGCGGUGAUACGUAGGGUGCGAGCGUUGUCCGGAUUUAUUGGGCGUAAAGAGCUCGUAGGCGGUUCGAUA